rnacentral:rRNA from 1 species
UGGGGAAUAUUGGACAAUGGGCGCAAGCCUGAUCCAGCCAUGCCGCGUGAGUGAUGAAGGCCCUAGGGUUGUAAAGCUCUUUCACCGGUGAAGAUAAGGACGGUAACCGGAGAAGAAGCCCGGGCUAACUCCGGGCCAGCAGCCGCGGUAAUACGAAGGGGGCUAGCGUUGUUCGGAUUUACUGGGCGUAAAGCGCACGUAGGCGGACUAUUAAGUCAGGGGUGAAAUCCCGGGGCUCAACCCCGGAACUGCCUUUGAUACUGGUAGUCUUGAGUUCGGGAGAGGUGAGUGGAAUUCCGAGUGUAGAGGUGAAAUUCGUAGAUAUUCGGAGGAACACCAGUGGCGAAGGCGGCUCACUGGCUCGAUACUGACGCUGAGGUGCGCAAGCGUGGGGAGCAAACAGG